rnacentral:lncRNA from 1 species
GCAGGUUGAGCCUUGCGAUGUCCUUUCCAUCAAAAUCAGCACAAUGACCGAGGAUGAGCCCUUGAUAGGACUAUAUGAGAAUAAUGAUAUCAGUACAGGUCAUGGAAUGAAACAAAUACCUAGAAGUGCCCUCAUUCAAUAAUAUGGACUGAGUGGCAAUUAUGUGCAAGGCCCUGUGCUAGAUGCUGGAGGAGCUAUCAAAGUGCUUCCAAUCAAAUUGAUUUAAGGAAGGCCAUAGCUCUGAUUAUUGCUAGGGACUUAAGCCCACCCUUUA